GUUAUUUGUGGGAGUUACAGGCUAUAAUCACAACAGAAACUUUCAAAACCCUUAUCUUCUGUGACGCACCAAAUCUAUUUCAGAGUCAUAAUUGCUAUGUCACCGGAGAGUUUGCUGCUUAAUGCACUCAAAUGCCAUUUAGUGUUUGCAGGGUCAUUACAGCUCACAGAAGAGGGGGGUGGAUAGGGUGGGAAGCUGUAGGGGAGAAUGCAGACAGAGGACGUUGAGGGGAAUGUGCUAGAAUGGGGCACUGAUUUAUUUAAGGAAGGGUAUUGUUUUGAGAAUUCCACUUACUGACAGAAAUGAGAACAAGGGCUUGAAAACAACCUAUGGACUGGAGAAUUCAGAAUUCAUGGAUCCCCCCCCCCCGAGAUCUUCUGUGGAUGCUGGGGCGUGGCCUCUUUUCUUCUGGGAUUCUCAACCAGGUUUUCCAAGAAAACUCUCGGGUUCUACUUGAUAGCCCUGAGUUCUUUCACAGACUAGAAAUAUAGAAAAUGUUUUCCUAGGAUAAAAAUCCACCUUUCACACUGAAGAACUUUCCACAAAAACAAGACAGAAUGAGACCUGGAGCCUUAUUCCACAAGAGCCCUCUUCUGCUGAGAAAGAAGAGUUUUCUCUAUUUUCUACAUGUUGGAAAAGUGCACGAUGGGAUAAUAACCUUCUUGUAUAAAAGUU